CCUUUAGAUUGGCCCAAGUGGGAUUAGCUAGUUGGUGAGGUAAUGGACUCACCAAGGCGACGAUCCCUAGCUGGUUUGAGAGGAUGAGUCAGCCACACUGGGACUGAGACACGGCCCAGACUCCUACGGGAGGCAGCAGUGGGGAAGUAUUGCACAAUCGGGCGCAAGGCCUGAUGCAGCCAUGCCGCGUGUGUGAAGAAAGGCCUUCGGGUUGUAAAGCACUUUCAGUCAGGAGGAAAGCGUGGUGGUUAAUACCCAUCAUGUGUGACGUUACUGACAGAAGAAGCACCGGCUAACUCCGUGCCAGCAGCCGCGGUAA
rnacentral:rRNA from 1 species